CCCUUAGAUGUUCUGGGCCGCACGCGCGCUACACUGAUGCAUUCAACGAGUUUCUUCCUGGUCCGAGAGGAAUGGGUAACCUUUUGAAAGUGCAUCGUGAUAGGGAUAGACUAUUGCAAUUAUUGGUCUUCAACGAGGAAUUCCUAGUAGACGUAGUUCAUCAGACUGCAUCGAUUACGUCCCUGCCCUUUGUACACACCGCCCGUCGCUACUGCCAACUGAGAUGGGUCCUGAAUUGUUAGGAACGCCCGUCAAGGGGCCUACCCGGUCCCUAGUGCGGUGACGAGAAUAACUGUAAAUGGCAUAUCUUGGAGGGAGUAAAAGUCGUAACA
rnacentral:rRNA from 1 species